AUUGAACGCUGGCGGAAUGCUUUACACAUGCAAGUCGAGCGGCAGCACGGGGGCAACCCUGGUGGCGAGCGGCGAACGGGUGAGUAAUACAUCGGAACAUGCCCAGUCGUGGGGGAUAACACUUCGAAAGAAGUGCUAAUACCGCAUACGUCCUGAGGGCGAAAGCAGGGGAUCUUCGGCGCUCGCGCGAUCGGAGUGGCCGAUGUCAGAGUAGCGCGUUGGCGGGGGAAAGGCCUACCAAGGCAACGAUUUGUAGCUGGUCUGAGAGGAUGAUCAGUCACACUGGGACUGAGACACGGCCCAGACUGCUACGGGAGGCAGCAGUGGGGAAUGUUGGACAAUGGGGGCGACCCUGAUCCAGCCAUUCCGCGUGAGUGAAGAAGGCCUUCGGGUUGUAAAGCACUGUCGGCAGGAACGAAACGGCGAGCUCUAACAUAGCUUGCUAAUGACGGUACCUGAAGAAGAAGCACCGGCUAACUACGUGCCAGCAGCCGCGGUAACAC
rnacentral:rRNA from 1 species